GGGUGUGUAGAUGAAGAAGUCGCCUCUCAAGGGGGAAAAUCUUUUCAAUUUCCCUUUAGCAGGUGCAGGUCAAGGAGGAAUCCAUGAGCAUUUUGUCUGAUCCAUGAACUGAUUAGGGGAGGGGAAAGGAUCCCUCUCCUCUUGGUCUUCCUUUCCCAGUUUUGAAAUCAUUCCUUCCCCACCACUGCUGCCCUCCCACCCACCCCCUCCCCUUCCCCUGCACUGAAUGAAUGAAAGAGACUCCAGGGCUUUCUUCUGCUUCUCGCCCUGGACUGGAGAAGUGAGGGGGCAUCUAUCUAUCCUCAUCCAUCUCUUUCUCGCUUCAUCCAUUCCCGACGGGAUUUCAGACUGUGCAAUGUGUUUUCAGCCUCUUGCCGCUGCUACCACUUGAUACUAUGCGACGCGCAGGGAGAGGGUUUUGCGAAAAUGGAUUUAUUCUAUUUUAAAGGAUUUCUUCUCUAAUAAGGAUCUCAUUGCACACAAAUAUGACUAAAUCCCCUAUUUGGUAAAUCUUUCUCUACCCCACCCCUUCUCUUUGGGUUCCCUCCCGCCCGCGCCCCCACCCCUUCAGAGGAGCAAGCACAGGGAGCUGAUGACGGACCCAUUAAUCCCUUCUUCAAUGCAUCAAAAGAAGCCGAAGGGCUGGAAGUCGCUGGGCUCGGAGUCCUGCAGGAAAUGCUUCGAUCUGCUUUUGGUUCUGUAUGAAACUGGUGACUAGGGGCUCGGCUCGCUCCGCCGCCGCCGCCCGCCGGCACCUGGAUGCGCGGGCCGCCGCCGCCGCCGCCUUGCCCGCCGCCGCGAUGCAACGCUCCUGGCGGUGCUGGUGAUCGCUCGGGUGUGAUGGGAUUGAGCCGGCGGUGAUCAUUUGAAGGCGGUGAGGGAGAGCGAGGGAGAGGAAGGGCUGCUCCGCUGUGCUGUGUGUGUAGGGGCUUCGGGAUUUUUCUUUUUCUUCUUCUUUUCUUACUUCCAUCCUCUCCCCGCCACUGGAAGUCCUCCCGUAUCUAAAUGGAAUUAGUGGAGACCGAAGCCCCUUGUGUAAGGAACAGACAUGACCCAUGGACGCAGCUUCUUUCACAUUGUAGCAAGUCUAAUCAUCCUACAUUUGUCUGGGGCAACGAAAAAAGGAACAGAAAAGCAAACUGCUUCCGAAGGACAGAAACCAGUGCAGUGCGGAACUUGGACCAAAUAUGCAGAAGGAGGCAUCUUCACUUCUCCAAAUUACCCCAACAAGUAUCCUCCGGACAGAGAGUGUGUCUACAUUAUAGAAGCUGCUCCUAGACAAUGCAUUGAACUACACUUUGAUGAAAAAUAUUCCAUAGAGCCUUCUUGGGAGUGUAAAUUUGACCAUAUUGAAGUACGAGAUGGACCUUUUGGCUUUUCCCCAAUCAUUGGACGUUUCUGUGGACAGCAAAAUCCACCUAUGAUAAAAUCCAGUGGCAGAUUCCUGUGGAUUAAAUUUUUUGCUGAUGGUGAACUAGAAUCUAUUGGGUUUUCUGCUCGGUACAACUUUACACCUGAUCCAGAUUUUAAGGACCUUGGCGUUUUGAAACCAUUGCCAGUUUGUGAGUUUGAGAUGGGAGGACCUGAAGGAAUUGUGGAAUCUGUACAAAUUGUCAAAGAAGGAAAAGCUUCUGAAACUGAAGCAGUAGACUGUAAAUGGUACAUCCGAGCGCCACCCCGAUCCAAGAUCUAUUUGCGAUUCUUGGACUACGAGAUGCAGAAUUCCAACGAAUGCAAAAGGAAUUUUGUAGCUGUCUAUGAUGGAAGCAGCUCCGUGGAGGAUUUGAAAGCAAAGUUUUGCAGCACUGUUGCUAAUGAUGUAAUGCUGCGGACAGGUCUUGGUGUAAUCCGCAUGUGGGCAGAUGAAGGCAGUCGAAACAGCCGAUUCCAGAUGCUCUUCACAUCUUUCCAAGAACCCCCUUGUGAAGCCAACACAUUCUUUUGCCACAGUAAUAUGUGUAUAAAUAAUACACUGGUCUGCAACGGACUCCAGAACUGCGUGUAUCCCUGGGAUGAAAACCACUGCAAAGAAAAAAGAAAAGCUAACCUAUUGGACCAACUUACCAAUACCAGUGGGACUAUAAUUGGGGUGACUUCUUGCAUUGUGAUCAUCCUCAUUGUCAUAUCUAUUAUAGUACAGAUCAAGCAGCCUCGUAAAAAAUUUGUCCAAAGGAAAACAGACUUUGAUCAAAAUGUGUUCCAGGAGGUGUUUGAGCCUCCUCAUUAUGAGUUAUGCACCCUCAGAGGGACAGGGACUACAGCUGACCUUGCUGAUGUUGCAGAUGACUUUGAAAAUUAUCAUAAACUGCGGAGAUCCUCUUCAAAAUGCAUUCAUGACCAUCACUGUGGAUCACAAGUGUCUAGCAUUAAGGGCAGCCGUAGUAACCUCAGCACAAGAGAUGCUUCUGUCUUGACAGAAAUACAACCCCAGCCUGUAAAACCACUUGUUCAACCCAUGAACAGGAGAAAUAUCCUUGUCAUGAAGCAUAGCUACUCACAAGAUGCUGCAGAUGCGUGUGAGAUAGACGAAAUUGAAGAGGUACCAACCACAAGUCACAGGCUGUCCAGACAUGAUAAAUCUGUUCAGCGCCAUAACAUUCCAGGUUCUGCCUCAUUGGGUCUCUAAGCAAACAUGAGUCUGAGUACAACACAACUAGGGUCUAAGAGACAAACCUGAGACUGCUUGAGAAUAGUGCGCUCCUGGGUGAUUUUGAACAUGCUACAAUGAAAUGUGAAACUAUCGUCCUCGGAAACACCAGCUAGAGGUUUUAUGGACUCUCUGACCAGCUAUUCUCAUGUCAUGACAAAAUUCAGCAAACAGUGUUGAGUAAAAUUACUAGAAGGCAAUAAGACUUUGGUUAUUAUGCUUAUCAGUCAUUUCUCUUUUUCUUUUUCUCUCUUCUUUUCGUUACAAUUUAAAUUCCCAAUUUCAGGAACAAUUUAUUGAAAUCAGGUAUUUAGCCAUUCAUAAUCACUUCAAUAGAAGCAUUUGUUGGAUAAGCAUCUAGCAAUAUGACUGAAUUUGACAUUGAGAAAUUAAUCUGCAUGUUUGUUACUGAAUAUUUGAGUUGGCAAAAAUCCCUUUAUUAGAUACAUUGUAAAAAGCAUGCAUUCACAAUUAUUGCUGUUACUGUUCCAUUUCUGUGUCAUAUGCUUGCUACUUGUAACUUUUUAUAUAAAAAUACAUAAAAAAAUGUAUAAUAAUUUCGUA